rnacentral:rRNA from 1 species
CCUACGGGAGGCAGCAGUGAGGAAUAUUGGACAAUGGGCGAAGGCCUGAUCCAGCCAUGCCGCGUGCAGGAAGACUGCCCUAUGGGUUGUAAACUGCUUUUAUAUAGGAAGAACCCCCCGAACGCGUUCGGGGCUGACGGUACUAUAAGAAUAAGCACCGGCUAACUCCGUGCCAGCAGCCGCGGUAAUACGGAGGGUGCAAGCGUUAUCCGGAAUCAUUGGGUUUAAAGGGUCCGUAGGUGGGCGUUUAAGUCAGAGGUGAAAUCCCGCGGCUCAACCGUGGAACUGCCUUUGAUACUGAAUGCCUUGAGUCGUUGUGAAGCGGUUAGAACAUGUGGUGUAGCGGUGAAAUGCAUAGAUAUCACAUAGAAUACCGAUUGCGAAGGCAGAUCGCUAACAACGCACUGACACUGAUGGACGAAAGCGUGGGGAGCGAACGG